AAGACGCUAGUAAAAUUGCUAUUACACCACCUUGUCAAGGUGGGAUCGUGGGUUAAACCCCCGCGCGCCUUA
rnacentral:tRNA from 1 species